AAAUUAUAAUGAGGGCACUUCCUCAUCUAAUCCUUGAAUCUAUUCCAUGCCGUGCACAAGGUUUCACCCUCAAUUUGAGUGAAAUUGGUGAUGUCAUUCACCAUCU